rnacentral:rRNA from 1 species
GCAUAUAAGUAAGCGGAGGAAAAGAAACUAAAUAGGAUUCUCUUAGUAAUGGCGAAUGAACUGGGAUGAGCUCACCAUGGGAAUCGGGGUCCUCGACCUUGAAUUGUAGUCUCGAGAUGCAGCGCCAACAAAGGCGCAGGUGUAAGCCUCUUGGAAGAGAGCACCGCGGAGGGUGAGAGUCCCGUCUGUCACCUGCAGUCCCUUGUGUACGGCCUGCGUUCUAAGAGUCACGUUCCUCGGGAUUGGAGCGCAAAUUGGGUGGUAAGUUUCACCUUAAGCUAAAUAUUGGUCCGAGACCGAUAGCAAACAAGUACCAUGAGGGAAAGGUGAAAAGGACUUUGAAAAGAGAGUUAAAAGUGCUUGAAAUUGCUGAAAGGGAAGCGAAUGGAACCAGUUCCGCUGGGUGAGAUUGUCGCCUGCCAAGGCCUCGUGCCGGUCGCAUGUGAUGCUUCUUGCCUUGUGUGUCAGCUGCGGUCCGAGGUUGGGGAAAACUCCGGGGACAUGGAUGCCAACCUUCGGGGGGGUGAAUGUGCCUGGCAAGACCCGUCUUCGGACCGUGAGCAGUGCUUGGCAUGUUUGCGGUGUUGACGAAAUGCAUUUCCUCGACCCGUCUUGAAACACGG